rnacentral:rRNA from 1 species
UAUCUCUGUAGAGUCUGCAUAUCAAUAAGCGGAGGAAAAGAAACUAACUAGGAUUCCCUCAGUAACGGCGAGUGAAGCGGGAAGAGCUCAAAUUUGAAAUCUUCAAGGUUCUACCUUGACGAAUUGUAGUUUAAAGAAGUGUUUUCUGUUGGUGUUUUGGUAAAAGUUCUUUGGAAUAGGACAUCAUAGAGGGUGAGAAUCCCGUAUUUGACCAUUAUUUCCAGCUUUGUGAUACACUUUCAAAGAGUCGGAUUGUUUGGGAAUGCAGUCCAAAAUGGGUGGUAAAUUUCAUCUAAAGCUAAAUAUUGGCGAGAGACCGAUAGCGAACAAGUACCGUGAGGGAAAGAUGAAAAGAACUUUGAAAAGAGAGUUAAACAGUACGUGAAAUUGUCAAAAGGGAAGCGUUUGACACCAGUGUUGUUUUCUCGAAAAUCAAUUAAAAAAGGCAGGAUUUUGUGUUGUAUUGACUUUAUCAGCUUUCUGCACUCUUUUCUUGUCUUUUUUAAUGCACUUUUCGUUUAACAAGUCAACAUCAAUUUCUUUUGUUGUAAAAGGGUCAUUGGAAGGUGGCUUUCUUUUCGGAGAAAGUGUUUAUAGCCUUUGGCCUCUGCAAUCGGAGAGAUUGAGGUCUGCAGCGUAGAUCCUUCGGGGUUAGAUACAUUUGUGCUAAGUUAUAGCCUUUCAUAGACAACUCGUUGACUAUGAUCAGUCAUGUAGCUUACUCGCUUAUGCUAUUUUACCUACGCUUAGGAUGUUGACGAUCAGCUGAGCGCG